UUCCAGGGCAGCCUUAUUCAUGCAGUCGACGAGCUUCCGUUGAAUGACGUGCUUGCACUGAUUUCAACAAUGAAGCGAGUGGCGAACUGGUGAGUAACACGUGGGAAAUCUGCCCAGAAGCAGGGGAUAACACUUGGAAACAGGUGCUAAUACCGUAUAACAACAAAAUCCGCAUGGAUUUUGUUUGAAAGGUGGCUUCGGCUAUCACUUCUGGAUGAUCCCGCGGCGUAUUAGUUAGUUGGUGAGGUAAAGGCCCACCAAGACGAUGAUACGUAGCCGACCUGAGAGGGUAAUCGGCCACAUUGGGACUGAGACACGGCCCAAACUCCUACGGGAGGCAGCAGUAGGGAAUCUUCCACAAUGGACGAAAGUCUGAUGGAGCAAUGCCGCGUGAGUGAAGAAGGGUUUCGGCUCGUAAAACUCUGUUGUUAAAGAAGAACACCUUUGAGAGUAACUGUUCAAGGGUUGACGGUAUUUAACCAGAAAGCCACGGCUAACUACGUGCCAGCAGCCGCGGUAAUACGUAGGUGGCAAGCGUUGUCCGGAUUUAUUGGGCGUAAAGCGAGCGCAGGCGGUUUUUUAAGUCUGAUGUGAAAGCCUUCGGCUUAACCGGAGAAGUGCAUCGGAAACUGGGAGACUUGAGUGCAGAAGAGGACAGUGGAACUCCAUGUGUAGCGGUGGAAUGCGUAGAUAUAUGGAAGAACACCAGUGGCGAAGGCGGCUGUCUAGUCUGUAACUGACGCUGAGGCUCGAAAGCAUGGGUAGCGAACAGGAUUAGAUACCCUGGUAGUCCAUGCCGUAAACGAUGAGUGCUAAGUGUUGGAGGGUUUCCGCCCUUCAGUGCUGCAGCUAACGCAUUAAGCACUCCGCCUGGGGAGUACGACCGCAAGGUUGAAACUCAAAGGAAUUGACGGGGGCCCGCACAAG
rnacentral:rRNA from 1 species